rnacentral:rRNA from 1 species
GUGUACCUACGGGGGGCAGCAGUAGGGAAUCUUCGGCAAUGGACGAAAGUCUGACCGAGCAACGCCGCGUGAGUGAAGAAGGUUUUCGGAUCGUAAAACUCUGUUGGUAGAGAAGAACGUUGGUGAGAGUGGAAAGCUCAUCAAGUGACGGUAACUACCCAGAAAGGGACGGCUAACUACGUGCCAGCAGCCGCGGUAAUACGUAGGGGGCAAGCGUUGUUCGGAAUGACUGGGCGUAAAGGGUGUGUAGGCGGUGUAGCAAGUUAGAAGUGAAAUACCUAGAGCUUAACUCAGUGGC